UUUGAAUGAGAAGCUCCACUGACUAUGGAAA
rnacentral:piRNA from 1 species